CUACACUCGAACCCCCGCUGGUCUGCCCCCAGCACAGAUUCUAGUUCUUCUGGGUCAAAAGUUGGGAUAGGUCUAGGCCAUAAAAGCAAACACCUAGAAUGAGUUUUGGGCUUUAGAGACCCGAUGUUUGGUUGCAUGUUGCAGAUCCCACUGAAAAUGCUAGAAGCAGAAAAUCAUGAGGUGGGCCUCUCUGAUGGUAAGAAGAGAGCUGCCCAGGUGCCUCUUCCAUGUCUGAGACCAGCGGAAAAGACCGGGCCUGUGUCCUGGGCACCCAUGGAAGGCCCCUGGGUUGUCUUGGUGUGGUGGCCAGGUCCCCUCCACACUGGUCACUGUUGCCAGGGCGGACAGGAGAAGCAGCAGAGCCUGAUUGGCCUGGGCUGAGUCACACAUCCUCCCACAGCCAGGGGUGGGGGUCCUAAGGGGGCUACAACUGUGGCCUCUGGGACCUGCAUCCGAUUGAGUCUAGGAAGACUGAAGGUGGAGCAGAUGGGGGGGCGGGAAGGGGUGGGGAACACAAAUGUGUACUCUGCGGGUCUCCCCUUGGGCAAGACGCUGGCUCCUGAAGCCAGAUGUUGUCUCCCUGCUGGAGCAGGAGGAACCAUGAGCGGUAGACGACGGGGUUCCCAGAGGCGUGUGCGCAGUGAGGGGAGAGCCUUGCAGGGCUGGGAGGGCCCCAGUCACACCCUGGGCACUCUCCAUGUCUGCUCUCACAUUCUUCAGAGUAAAUUGACUGUUCAGUU